rnacentral:rRNA from 1 species
UACGUAGGGUGCAAGCGUUGUCCGGAAUUAUUGGGCGUAAAGAGCUCGUAGGCGGUUUGUCGCGUCGAAUGUGAAAACCCGGGGCUCAACUCCGGGCCUGCAUUCGAUACGGGCAGACUAGAGUUCGGUAGGGGAGACUGGAAUUCCUGGUGUAGCGGUGAAAUGCGCAGAUAUCAGGAGGAACACCGGUGGCGAAGGCGGGUCUCUGGCCCGGUACUGACGCUGAGGUGCGAAAGCGUGGGGAGCAAACAGG